GCAACAUGCCUGCAGAGAUGGGUGCUGGCUCCAUCAACUUACUCAUGUGAAAUCAGAUACUGACAAGUGGAGAAGCAUGACAAUACAGAUGCUUUGUUAAAGCUACCAAGAGGAGUAAGAAUUUUCUUGACUGGAACCUGAAAAUUGUAUUUUUCCCAGGAUGACAAGGCCGUCCCUGGAUUUGGAUUCCACAGUGAAAGACUUUGCCCACAGAGUGGAAAAGGAGUGACAUAGACAGAGUUGACAAGAAUAUGAAACUCAGGACUUGCCACCAUUUUAAACAUGAGCCAGAGACAGUGUGAAACAAAUGAAGCUGAGUUUCACAAGUGUUACAGGGAUUUGUGAAGUUAUGUCUACCAAGUCAAAUUUGAAAAGUAUGGGUGGAGUUUACAACUACGCUGAUUUUAUCUUCCCUCUGUUUGAGGGACAAUAG